UUCGGGCAUGCAUGACAGUGGCAGACGGGUGAGUAACACGUAGGAAUCUACCGAAAAGUGGGGAAUAGCCAUUCGAAAGGAUGGGUAAUACCGCAUAAUCCCUCCGGGGCAAAGCAUUUAUGCGCUUUUCGAGGAGCCUGCGGACUAUCAGUUAGUUGGUGGGGUAAAGGCCUACCAAGACUACGACGGUUAGCCGAUGUGAGAGCAUGAUCGGCCACAAGGUUACUGAGACACGGAACCUACACCUACGGGUGGCAGCAACUGGGAAUAUUGCGCAAUGGACGAAAGUCUGACGCAGCGACACCGCGUGCAGGAAGACGCUUUUCGGAGUGUAAACUGCUGUGGCGAGGGAGAAAAUUUUGAUAGUACCUCGCUAGAAAGCACCAGCUAACCACGUGCCAGAAGCUUCGGUAAUACGUGGGGUGCAAGCGUUAUCCGGAUUUAUUGGGCGUAAAGGGUUCGUCGGCGAUCUUAUAAGUUACUUGUUUAAGCCUGGGGCUCAACUCCAGAAAGGCAAGUAAAACUGUAAGGAUAGAGUUAGUUCGAGGAAACUAGAAUUCUUGGUGGAGGGGUGAAAUCCGUAGAUAUCAAGAGGAAUACCAUGCGCGAAGGCAGGUUUCUAGGACAUAACUGACGCUCAGGAACGAAAGCUAGGGUAGCAAAAGGGAUUAGAGACCCCUGUAG
rnacentral:rRNA from 1 species